AACGUAGGAUCCGAGCGUUAUCCGAAUUUACUGGGCGUAAAGCGCGUGCAGGCGGCUGGGUAAGUUGGGUGUGAAAUCUCCUGGCUCAACUGGGAGAGGACGCUCAAGACUGCUUGGCUCGAGGACGGUAGAGGGAGGUGGAAUUCCCGGUGUAGUGGUGAAAUGCGUAGAUAUCGGGAGGAACACCAGUGGCGAAGGCGGCCUCCUGGACCGUUCCUGACGCUCAGACGCGAAAGCUAGGGGAGCGAACGGGAUUAGAAACCCCCGUAGUCC
rnacentral:rRNA from 1 species